UACAGAGGGGGCAAGCGUUGUUCGGAAUUACUGGGCGUAAAGGGCGCGUAGGCGGCCGCCUAAGUCAGACGUGAAAUCCCUCGGCUCAACCGGGGAACUGCGUCUGAUACUGGGUGGCUUGAAUCCGGGAGAGGGAUGCGGAAUUCCAGGUGUAGCGGCGAAAUGCGUAGAUAUCUGGAGGAACACCGGUGGCGAAGGCGGGUCUCUGGGCAAUUCCUGACGCUGAGGCGCGAAAGCGUGGGGAGCAAACGGG
rnacentral:rRNA from 1 species